rnacentral:rRNA from 1 species
CUUCGUGGUGUGACUGCGUACCUUUUGUAUAAUGGGUCAGCGACUUAUAUUCAGUAGCGAGGUUAACCGUAUAGGGGAGCCGUAGAGAAAUCGAGUCUUAAUAGGGCGUUUAGUUGCUGGGUAUAGACCCGAAACCAGGCGAUCUAUCCAUGAGCAGGUUGAAGGUUGGGUAACACUAACUGGAGGACCGAACCCACUGUCGUUGAAAAGCCAGGGGAUGACUUGUGGAUAGGGGUGAAAGGCUAAUCAAGCCUGGUGAUAGCUGGUUCUCCCCGAAAGCUAUUUAGGUAGCGCCUCGGACGAAUACCAUAGGGGGUAGAGCACUGUUUCGGCUAGGGGGUCAUCCCGACUUACCAAACCGAUGCAAACUCCGAAUACCUAUGAGUACUAUCCGGGAGACAGACUGCGGGUGCUAACGUCCGUAGUCAAGAGGAAAACAAUCCAGACCGCCAGCUAAGGCCCCAAAAUCAUAGUUAAGUGGGAAACGAUGUGGGAAGGCAUAGACAGCUAGGAGGUUGGCUUAGAAGCAGCCACCCUUUAAAGAAAGCGUAAUAGCUCACUAGUCGAGUCGGCCUGCGCGGAAGAUGUAACGGGGCUAAAACUAUGUGCCGAAGCUGCGGAUGUAUACUUUGUAUACGUGGUAGGGGAGCGUUCUGUAAGCCGAUGAAGGUGUGUUGAGAAGCAUGCUGGAGGUAUCAGAAGUGCGAAUGCUGACGUGAGUAACGACAAAACGGGUGAAAAACCCGUUCGCCGAAAGACCAAGGGUUCCAGUCCAACGUUAAUCGGGGCUGGGUGAGUCGACCCCUAAGGCGAGGCCGAAAGGCGUAGUCGAUGGGAAAAUGGUUAAUAUUCCAUUACUUCUGUGUAAUGCGAUGAGAGGACGGAGAAGGCUAAAUCAGCCUGGCGUUGGUUGUCCAGGUGAAAGGAUGUAGGCAUGUAUCUUAGGCAAAUCCGGGGUACUCUAUGCUGAGAUCUGAUAGCAAGCUGUACUUGUACAGCGAAGUGGUUGAUGCCAUGCUUCCAGGAAAAGUCUCUAAGCUUCAGUUACACAGGAAUCGUACCCGAAACCGACACAGGUGGUCAGGUCGAGUAGACCAAGGCGCUUGAGAGAACUCUGCUGAAGGAACUAGGCAAAAUGGUACCGUAACUUCGGGAGAAGGUACGCUGUUGUUGGUGAUGGAACUCGCUUCCUGAGCUGACGACAGCCGCAGAAACCAGGCCGCUGCAACUGUUUAUUAAAAACAUAGCACUCUGCAAACACGAAAGUGGACGUAUAGGGUGUGAUGCCUGCCCGGUGCUGGAAGGUUAAUUGAUGGGGUUAGCGUAAGCGAAGCUCUUGAUCGAAGCCCCAGUAAACGGCGGCCGUAACUAUAACGGUCCUAAGGUAGCGAAAUUCCUUGUCGGGUAAGUUCCGACCUGCACGAAUGGCAUAAUGAUGGCGGCGCUGUCUCCAGCAGAGGCUCAGUGAAAUCGAAAUCGCUGUGAAGAUGCAGUGUACCCGCGGCUAGACGGAAAGACCCCGUGAACCUUUACUGCAGCUUGACACUGAACUUUGACCUUACUUGUGUAGGAUAGGUGGGAGGCUUUGAAGCUGGAACGCUAGUUCCAGUGGAGCCGUCCUUGAAAUACCACCCUGGUAAUGUUGAGGUUCUAACUCUGUCCCGUGAUCCGGGACGAGGACCGUGUCUGGUGGGUAGUUUGACUGGGGCGGUCUCCUCCUAAAGAGUAACGGAGGAGUACGAAGGUGCGCUCAGCGUGGUCGGAAAUCACGCGUAGAGUAUAAAGGCAAAAGCGCGCUUAACUGCGAGACCCACAAGUCGAGCAGGUACGAAAGUAGGUCUUAGUGAUCCGGUGGUUCUGUAUGGAAGGGCCAUCGCUCAACGGAUAAAAGGUACUCUGGGGAUAACAGGCUGAUACCGCCCAAGAGUUCAUAUCGACGGCGGUGUUUGGCACCUCGAUGUCGGCUCAUCUCAUCCUGGGGCUGAAGCAGGUCCCAAGGGUAUGGCUGUUCGCCAUUUAAAGAGGUACGCGAGCUGGGUUUAGAACGUCGUGAGACAGUUCGGUCCCUAUCUACCGUGGGCGCUGGAAAUUUGAGAGGAUCUGCUCCUAGUACGAGAGGACCAGAGUGGACGAACCUCUGGUGUACCGGUUGUGACGCCAGUCGCAUCGCCGGGUAGCUAUGUUCGGAAGGGAUAACCGCUGAAAGCAUCUAAGCGGGAAGCCUACCUCAAGAUAAGAUUUCCCUAGGACUUUAUGUCCUCUAAAGAGCCGUUCGAGACUAGGACGUUGAUAGGUUGGAUGUGGAAGCAUAGUGAUAUGUGAAGCUGACCAAUACUAAUUGCUCGUGAGGCUUGACUAU